CCCUGCACUCCAGCCUGGAUGACAGUGAGACUGUCUCAAAACAAAACAAAAACAAGAAUUUUUUUAAAACAACAUUUUCUAUGAGUUAUAAAGGGUCUAAAGUAUUGUUGUUUUUUAUUGGGCAAGCAAAAUGAGCACUAAUUAAGCUUCUGUCUGCUCCCUCCACUCCAACGUCUGAGUCUAAGUUUUACCUUUCUGGUUUAAAUGAAUGGUUAAAUCACUUACUGUAUUUAGAAUUUGAUUUGGGUAAAUUUAAACUGCAAAGGUUCAUGUUUGUUUUUUGUUUUUUAGAAUCAGCUGACCUUUUCUGUAGAUUUCAGGACAUUUUCAAAUGUUUUAGGCACAAUAUUCUCAAAAGGUAGACCACUGAGGUUUUUCUAAGGAAAUUUGGUGUCUACCUUGCAUCACUAGACAGGCUUGGCUUUGGACGUUGAAUGCAGAGCUCUGUCACACUUUUAGAUCUUCAGUGUCACCUGGAAUUUGAGGAAUACUCUUGUUUAUUGGAUGCCAAUUUAGAAUGAGACAUUGAUGGAAGUUCUGGAUUUUGCUAGAGCAGAACGAUGGGUUUAGUACCUGUCUUAGGGAAUGUGAGUCAUUCUUAGAGUCAGAAAACAACUGGUGAUCCCUUUGGAGAACAGUUUGAUUUGCUAGGUACCAAAUAAGGGAGCUCUUCUGUUAAACUUUGCAUCUCUAAAAGAAUACCUUCUUUGUCUUAGAGUCCUACUGGGAGUGAGAAAAGAGACCCAGUAAACAGAGCUCACAGUUAGCUUAGGCUGUUUCCAUGAGGAACCCCCUGCUUGUGGGUGGGAAAUCAACCUUGGCUAGGCUUAAAGGUUAGACAAGAAACUGUUGAGUUUGCCACUUUUUAUACCACACAAGGGUAUCGUUAUCUUGCUCUGUUAUAUUCAUUUCCUCCUCCAAACAGUCUACUGGGGAGAAAGAACAAAGCCAAGCCUGAGAAGCAUCUUGAUGUGGAAAUCUGUAAAAAA